UCACGCUGCAGCCGCGUGUUUAAAAAUGUUUACACCCGAAACUCCACCACGUCCACUGAAGCAAAGACGUUUGCAAAUGUACAGACGUGAGUGGGAAGAGAGAAACCCCUGGCAGCGGGUUAAAGACAAACUGUGUUCUGUGUUGCUCAUGGAAUGGCUGAAGUAAAGCAGCAUCAGGAGACCAACAUGUAAGAAACACGGGAACAGAGAGAAUCCAACCAGUAGGUCACAGUUUAUCAUCAUCUAAUCAUCUCCUGAAGCUGAUAUGGUGUGACAGCGCCACCUGCUGCUGCUUCUCACUGAGCACGUGCAGCCGUUUCAGCUCCGCCCACCAGUCUCCGGGGCGAUGCCAUCGCGGCCGCAGCAGCAGGUCGUUCAGCAGAGCGGCGAGACACGCCCCCAAGCCAGGCCCCGCCCAGAACACCUGGUGAGAAGCAGCCAAUCAGAGCUCAGUGUGUUGCCGUGGGUUACAGUUUGUGCGUGUUGUGUGUCAGUGUGUGUUCUGACCCAGUGGUCGGUGAAGUCCAGUGCGAUCACGGCCGGACCGAAGGAUCGAGCUGGAUUCAUCCCACAACCUGUCGAGCUCACCUGAGACACAAAGUCUGAGUCACAUGAUGCAGGUUUGAACACACAGAUCUGUUCAUCAGAAGUUAAAUAGCUGCUGUGUGAUUAAAAGUUUUGAAGUUCAAAAAUGUGGAAAAAAUAUAUUUUCACAGUGAAACUUCUGAUGUCCACAUUUUCAACAUUUUUGGGAAAUUUUUGAAAAUUUUUGGGUGGAAAAAAAGAAAUGUUAAAAAAGUGUUUCUUAAGAACAUUCACAAAAAAAUCAACCAAAAUCCAGCGAAUUUCGCUUCGAUUUUUUUUGGUGAAUGUUCUUACAGAAAAUAUUAGAAGUUUUACUGAUGUGUAUGUAAUCACUUUAGAUAUAUUUAGGAUUUGGAAGAUUUUUAUUUAUUUUUUGAAAAUAUUUACAAGAAUUUUCUUGCCAAAUUUGGAGGAUUUUUUUUAAAUAAAACUUUUAAGGGACAAUUUUAAGGAAUUACUGGAAUUUUCUUCCUGAAGGUUUUGCAAAUUUUCAGAAAUUUGGGGAAUUUUUUGCAGAAGUUUUGGAUUUUUUUUUCACAAAAGGAAACAAUAUUUUUUGUUGCCCGUAAAUUAAAACAACAGGUUGUUGAAUGUAGAGCUGUUAAUCAUGUAAAGAUAUUUAUUUUACUGAUCGAUGCCGCUGAUUAUUUCUACUUAAUAUGAUCAAUGUCAUAAUCAGCUGCAGAACCAGCAGGGAAAAUAGACAAAAACAUAAAAACAGAUUCAUGUGAUUUCUAAGCUGCUAAUGUGACUUCGUAGUUCAGCGUUCUGCUUUCUGAGUUACAUUCGUCGUGUUAAACACGGAACAACACAACAACUACAACAAAAGCAACAACAACAGCUACUAGUACUACAACUACAGCAGCUAUAACAAGUAUAAAAACAGCUACUACAACUACAAACACAAGAAUAACAACAAAAAACAACAGCAAAUACACCUACAAUUACAAUGACAACAAUUACAACAACUAAAAAUGGCAACUGUAGCUGCAACAGUAGCACCAGCAGCAGUACUUUUAUUAGUAGUAGUAGUAGUACUAGCAGUAGUUGGACAGGUACAAACAUUAGGGUUUUAAAGCACAGGUGGUGGGCGGGACUUACAGCCACCAGGUGACCCAGACUGACAGCCAGACCGACCAACAGAGGAGGCACCACAGCUGGCAGGGGGACGUCGGUGGUCGCCAUGACAACCAGGACUAGCUGGAGGGUCACCAGCAUUUCCACAACGACCGCCUGGUGGAGCCAGACACCGGCAGACACCUGAACACAAACACGUGAGUCAUGGAAAAUCCUGCUCUCUGAUUGGCUGCCAGGGCUCCAAGGCGGAGCUAAACUCACCUGGUUGAGAGCAGGUGUCACGUCUCCAGUCAGAACCAGCAUCAGCGCCGCAGAGGCGACGCCCCCCAGCAGCUGACCAAUCACAUACAGGACUGCUCUCCACAGGUGGAGCCUAAGGGUCAGGGCCAUCGCUAUGGUAACUGCUGGGUUCAGGUGAACGCCCCCGCCCACACAGACUGCUGCCAUGGCAACUGACAGACCGAAGACCAGCACCACCUGCAGGGGGCACUCAGGUAAGACGGGUACUAGUCCAGACUGAGCUGCAAACGGGGCGCUCUGAUUGGUCGGUUGAUCCAGCCCAGCAGCCGGCAGCAUCAGGACACCUGAUAGGCUGGCCGACAGGAAGAGGGCGGUGCCUAAGAACUCCAGCAGGAGGUGAUGUAAGCAGGAUGGGGUGAUGAUGUCAGUCAGGAUGAGAUGCAGGCAGCGAGAGAUGAGCAUCAUGGGAGCCGGAGUCCAAAACCUGCAGCAGACGCGGGUGUGACAGGUGAGUUCAGGUGUUCAUGUUCAAAACCAGUGUCAAAUAAUUAAACUCAACUGGACCGUGUCUGAUGAUUUUGUUAAUAUUUUUAAACACUUGAACACACCUGAAUACACCAAAUACAGUCAACUACAAACAGCACUUUGACCAGCAGGACUUACCUGGUCUGGGUCACAGGUGAGCUGAUCAGGAUUGAUGAUGAAGAGACAUCCAGGUGUGUCUACCUGCCUGCCUCUGCCAGUGUGAGUCGUGUCUCUUAUAAAGCUCAGGUGUGUCCAGGUGGGUGGUCUCAGCACACAGGCUCUCUCUGUGCAGGUGAAGUCCACGUGAAACUGGAUCUUUGAAUGUUUCAGGAGUGAAGUAGGAAAAGAGGUUGGAGAAGUGAUGAAGCUCUGAGAGGAGAAGAAGCUGAACCAUUCUCAUUAAACACACUGAGUUUAGUUCAGUUUUCUUCAGUUCAGACUGCCAGUGUCACAUCUGUUGGUUCUUAAAAAGAACCCUUCAUAUGUUCUUAGCCCACCUGAAGAUUGAGCAUGAAAUGUUCCCUACAACUUCUAAUAAUGUUUUAGAGAAAAUAUUUUAAUCUGUUUGUAUUUUUGAUGGUAUUUCUCAUUUUCAAGGUGUUUGGUUAUUGCUAGGGUUCUCAAGCUAACAUUCUAAAAAUGUUUUCCAAAUGUUAUCAGAGUUGUAGUCCAGUACUGGGAUCUAUUGUUUUAGAAACACCUUAUAGAAUGCUCUUCUAUAAAAUGUGUUACAUGAUUAUUUGUGGUACAUUUCUGUCACCUUUUGUUCUUUUUAAUCAUAUUUUUGUUGUUUUAUUUCUUUCUGUGGUUCUUUCAUUUAAUUCUGAUACUUUUGUGUUAAUUUUUUUUUUUUGUUUUGUGUCACAUUUUGGUGUUUCACAUCUGUCUGUGUUUGGUUUGUUUGCAGGUGCGUUGUUGUGACAGUAUGUCUUUGUGUAGUUUUCCAGAGGCACAGCGUGAAUGUUUCAUGAAACAGACGCGUGCAGAGUUCCAUCCAUCCAUCCAUCCAUCCAUCCAUCCAUCCAUCCAUCCAUCCAUCCAUCCAACGUCUAUACACCACUUAAUCCUCAAUAGGGUCGAGUCUAUCCCAGCAGACUUAGAGUGAAGGCAGGGGACACACUGGACCAAUGUUCCCUGUAAUUUUUCCUGAGUUUGAGCAAACACACAAACUCCCUGAGCGUCCCUUGGACCACUGUGAGCAACAUCAGACGUGUGCACUGUGGUCACACCAGCAUCACAUCCAUUCAAGUUACAUGGUUCAUUAAAAGAAUCAAAUUACAGCAUUUACAUUUCUGUUAAAACACUUUGUCAACAGGAGCCAGUUGAAGGCUGCAGUGAUUUUAGUGACACUACAAUGUAUAAGAGUGAAGUUAUUGAAUAUUUGUCUCUCUUUACUGUUGCAGUGGUUUUGCAAAUUGCAGACGGACCCUGUUCACUCCAUAGACACUAAUGUUAUUCCUGUAGCUUGAAAGACAGCUACUUUUGAUAAAACUGGGCUUGUAGCACAUUGUCUGCCUUGCAACAAUGGGAAAGAGGCACCGUUUAUGUUUUGACAACCUAUAUCUAAUGAGUUAUUGAUGCUGGAAGUCCGAAUCUGUGAAUAUCUUUCCAACUUUACUGAACUUGGGGCCACUACCACCUAAGGAGUGAUAUAUUUAAUUUUGAAAAAAGCAUUUAGCCAUACUUAAAGCUUUAAGUGCUUUAUUAACACGGAACUAAAAAUUUUGUAUUGUUUUAUUAUCACAGGUUCUGUCUGAAAAGAGGUGGCAUCAUUUUAAACAGUGAAAUCAAACUAACAAAAUGUAAUGACCAACCAGUGAGCAAUACUGGGUUCUGAAACAACAUAAACAACUUUUUAAAAUCUAAAUCUUAUCUUAACACAGUUAAUGUAUUAACUUAUUUUUGUGUGUAUGCAUGUAUUUAUUGAUUUAUUUAGUACUGUUAACAUAGAGUUCUGAGUGAAUUUUUCUUAAGAUAGACAAAGGCCAUUUAUUGAUUACAUAUAGGCUAUUAAAUGUUUAUUAAAAACUAAAAAGCAUUUUAAAAAAACAACUUAGGCAUUUAUUGAGUCACUAAAAUACUGUAGAGUACAGACCACAUCAGCAUGAUUAUAAGCAUCCUCUGGUAAAUGAACAACCAGAUACUGAUGUCUCUCACCAUAUGGACUU